GGGUCGAGCGUGGAUCCACGGACGGUAUGGUGGGAAGAAUCUCGCAGGGAAAGAGAAUCGAGGCGGGGGAGGGGGAGAAUUUAGUGGGGACGAAGGUCGAAGAAAGAAGGUCCGUGAUGUCGGGAGGAGGACGGAGAACGCGUGUCAGCUCGACAACUCAACUAGCACCAGCCGUCCCUGACUCCCACCUUCGCUUCUUUCUCCCCGCUCCUGGCCUCCCGCACCCUUCGUACGCAAAGGCGUAUGAGGCGGAGGAUCCAAGGGGAAGGGAGUGCGUGGGUGACACGCGGGGGAAUACAAAACUAUUUCAGGGGGAGAGACUAUCCAUCAGAGUGCGAAUAGAAGGGCCCGUGUCCACGAUGAUAGGCACGAUUAGCGAGGCCCGUGUCCUGUGCAUCGAGUGACGGAAGAAAGGUUUUCAGGGAUAAGGUUUUGAUUUUUUUUUAAGGGAUAAAGAGGAUGUUGGGUGGAUUUUAAGAGUUGAACUAAUUUGGGAAAAGCUGAAGGAUGAAGGAAGAAGCAAUUUUUUUGGAGAUUGAUUAAGGGGAAUAAGAAAGGGCAUGAUUGUCACACAUGUGUUACAACUAAUCCAUGGAAACACGAAACCGUCGGAAGCGAAAAUACGAAGAAAAGAUCCAGGACACGUUGACAGUAGGCGGUUGGGUUCUCAGGAAUUUGUGUCGUCGACUAGCCAGAUUUCUCCACUUUUCGGAUUCACGCGCUGAAAAAGAUUGUUCUGAGAGCAGGAAAAAAUAUUUGACCGGCUAUCUUUGUGAAACUUCAUAUCUGCCGGAAGCUAAAUACUCCAUAAGCCACUUAUGUUCCUUGUUUAAAGAAAGUUCAACAUUUUCGCACAUGUUGCAUUUUUGUAUUUCAUUUGUUUUUUUUAAUAACAGGAAAAAUUAUGAAUUUAAUGAUAUAUAUAUCGAUUAUAAAUGUCAUUCUAAUUAAUUUCUGUUUAUCUCUAUUAAAUAAGAAUAUUAAAUAAGAAUUUGUUUUCUUAUGUUACUACUAAUAAUUAUUUUUUCUUGAAAAUAAAAAAAAUUCUAACAAUACAGAUUAUCC